rnacentral:tRNA from 1 species
GUUUUAAUAAUUUAAAUAAAAAUAUUGGUCUUGUAAACCAAAAAUAGGAUACCUUUAAAAUA